rnacentral:sRNA from 1 species
GCUGGGCAUGGUGGUGCACGCCUGUCAUCCCAGCGGUUGGGAGGCUGAGGCAGGAGGAUCGCGAAUUCAAAGCCAGCCUCAGUCAAAAGGAGGGCCCUAAGUAACUCAGUGAGACCCUGUAUCUA